rnacentral:pre_miRNA from 1 species
GACUCAUGAGCAAGGAUACAAGUGGGUUUUGUCCGUGAGUCCACAAAUAGGCCAUUUUCCCCUGGGGUCUGUGGUCUGUAGAACCGCGUAAAAAUAACCUAUUUGUGGACUCAUGGACAUGCCCUUUUGGUACUAAGUCAUAAGUGGGUC